AGCACGCAUACUAUUAAUAAAAUUUGAAACAAUACAGAGAAGAUUAGCAAGGCCCCUGUGCAAGGAUGACAUGCAAAUUCAUGAAGCAUUCCAUAUUUUU
rnacentral:snRNA from 1 species